ACGGAGGGUGCAAGCGUUAUUCGGAAUUACUGGGCGUAAAGGGCGUGCAGGCGGGGGAACAAGUCUGAUGUGAAAGCCCAGGGCUUAGCCCCGGAACGGCAUUGGAGACUGCAUUUCUUGAGUUCUGGAGAGGAAGGGAGAAUUCCCGGUGUAGAGGUGAAAUGCGUAGAGAUCGGGAGGAACAUCCGUGGCGAAGGCGCUCUUCUAGCCUUCACCUGACGCUGAGACGCGAAAGCGUGGGGAGCAAACAG
rnacentral:rRNA from 1 species